GACGGAGGAUGCAAGUGUUAUCCGGAAUCACUGGGCGUAAAGCGUCUGUAGGUGGUUCGAAAAGUCCACUGUUAAAAAUUGAAGCUUAACUUCAAAGAUGCCGUGGAAACUUUCAAACUAGAGUGUGGUAGGGGUAGAGGGAAUUUCCAGUGGAGCGGUGAAAUGCGUAGAUAUUGGAAAGACCACCGAUGGCGAAGGCACUCUACUGGGCCAUUACUGACGCUGAGAAGCGAAAGCAUGGGGAGCGAACAGG
rnacentral:rRNA from 1 species